UUUAAUUGCCAGCAUUCAGUUGGGCACUUUAAAGAGACUGCCGGUGUUAAACCGGAGGAAGGUGGGAUGACGUCAAGUCCUCAUGGCCUUAUGCUUAGGGCUACACACGUGCUACAAUGGGUGGUACAAAGAGAAGCCAACUCGCGAGAGCGCGCCAAUCUCAAAAAGACCAUCCUCAGUUCGGAUUGGAGUCUGCAACUCGACUCCAUGAAGUUGGAAUCGCUAGUAAUCGCGGAUCAGCAUGCCGCGGUGAAUACGUUCCCGGGCCUU
rnacentral:rRNA from 1 species